GCUCGUAUAGUGUAGGUGGUUAUCACCGUUCGUUGUGGUUCUUCUGUUCCCCUUCCGAGCUGACCGCUGUUCGACUCAGCGUGCGAGCA
rnacentral:tRNA from 2 species